rnacentral:rRNA from 1 species
UGAGGAAUAUUGGUCAAUGGGCGAGAGCCUGAACCAGCCACGUCGCGUGAAGGAAGACUGACCUUACGGUUUGUAAACUUCUUUUGUAGAGGGGUAAUGGCAGAUACGUGUAUUUGCGUUAAAGUACUCUACGAAUAAGCAUCGGCUAACUCCGUGCCAGCAGCCGCGGUAAUACGGGGGAUGCGAGCGUUAUCCGGAAUUAUUGGGUGUAAAGGGUGCGCAGGUGGCUAAUCAGGUCAGUGGUGAAAAGCGAUGGAUCAACCAUGGUCGUGCCAUUGAAACCGUAUAGCUAGAGAGGAGACGAGGUAGGCGGAAUGUGUGGUGUAGCGGUGAAAUGCAGAGAUAUCACACAGAACUCCGAUUGCGAAGGCAGCGUACCAGGAUUUAACUGACACUUAGGAACGACAGAGUGGGGAUCAAACAGG